UGGCGCACCAUAGGGCGCGCCUUAGGGCGCCCCACUGCUGAUGGUCUUAGAUUAUUUGAGAUGUUGAGCAUGUGGCAGUAGCGUUUUGUUCCUCAGUUUCCAUCAUGUAAUAUAACUCCAAAUUUCUUCAUGCUUGGUGUCUUUUUCUUUUCAACUGAUUUACUUGAGAUUUAGCAUGCUAAAUGAGGUUUCUAUGUGGCGGUGUCUCUAUGUGAUGUUGUGAUUCAUGCUUGAGUUUGAGGAAAAGAAAGGGAUAUGGAGGUUACCUUUUUUUCACCACUUUGUAUCUUGCUCCUAGACUUGUCUCUCUCGCGCUCUCUAUGCAUUAUCUUGCUAAUUGGUAUGUGGUGGUGAAAGAGGGUGAGACAUAGAGGGUGUGUAACUGAAAGUUGCUGUUUAGUGCAGGAAAAAGGGUCCCCACUUUGAUUGUAUGUCGUAAAAAAAAAUGCGAUUCCAUCCACAUUUACUACUCUACUGCAGUGGCCUUAUCCCCCUGUCUUUGCAGCACUCUAUCUGAGUUUUUGGUACGGUUUUUGCAGGGACUGAGCUCUGUAAGGUGGUUAACUGAAUCUCUGCAGUUGAAGCUCUGUAGAGUAGCUGUAGUUGUGCUCCUUUUCUUGGCUCGUAGCGGCUGGACAUGGGCUGGAGAUGUGAAGGAGUUGCACUACUGCAGGCUGUCCCAAUUGAGGUCAUGGCUAACUACCGAGAGCGGGUUCCCUGGAUGUCUCGGCUCAUCGGGCUGUCGGCACAAUCGGACCGAAAUCCAAGCUAAGAAGGAAGGCUCGAAGCUAGUAGUUUCAUUUGUAAGGAGAUAGGGUUCUUACUCGUAAUUUUCUCCUUUUCUUUAACAUGUAAACAAGUCUCUGUAAUAUUUCAUGUGUAUUUCGUUUCCUUUGUUUUUCUUUGUCAACAUCUGUAAUUUAAGACUUAUCUCGAUACUAAA